AGCCUACGUCAUCUGUCUGUGCCAGGCAGGCUGUCCUCUGCCCAAACCAGAGCUGAUCUACCCAUUGGAGCCCAGCUCGAGUUACAGGUGUUGAGCAGAGGCCUCUCCCCAGGCUCCUGCCCCGGUGACAACACAAAGCCUGAGCCCAGGGAGCCUCUCCCUUCUCUCCUGGACUCAGCUGAGACUCACUCCGGGAACAGCCGACUCAGCGAGCCUCAGGGACUGUCCAGUUGGGACCAAUCAAGGGUGGAAAUGGGCUCUUGGAAGUACAGGAGGGCCACUUGAGGCCAGGGAUAGGCUUCCAGAGAGAGAAGCUCCCUAGGAAAGUGAGCCCUGGACAUGGUGGUUUAGGGACAGCUGAGGGUCUCCAUGCAAGGCUUGUGCAGGAGCAAGUCUUUCCAGGAGCUACUCUUCAUGGUGACCCACACCGACCAUGGAGCAGACCCUUGAUACGUGAAGGGGAACAUCUAUAAGCGAGAGGAACACGGGAAAGCCUUUAGCAAGAGUUGCCUCCUUAAUCGACAUGAGCGGAUUCACUCGGGGGUGAAGCCCUAUGAAGGCACGGAGUGUGGGAAAACGUUUAUUAAGAGCACAUACCUGCUCCAGCACCACACGAUCCACACUGGGGAGAGGCCCUACGAGUGCAUGGAGUGCGGGAAGGCCUUCAACUGCAAGUCCUACCUCACAGCACCAGCGGAUCCACAGUAGAGAGAAGCCGUACAGGUGAAGUGAGUGCGGAAAGGCCUUCACCCACUGCUCCAGUUUUGUCUUACAUAAGAGGAGACACACCGGGGAAAGACCCUUUGUGUGCAAGAACUGUGGGAACGCCUUUCGAGAUAAGACAGGUUUCCUUCGAUACUACAUCAUCCACACGGGAGAGAAGUUCUUUGUGUGGCGUGUGGGAAAGCUUUCAACCGUAGGUCACAUCUCACCUGGCACCAGCAGAUUCAUAGCGGAGCAAGACCCUUUGAAUGCAUCGAAUAUGGGAAAGCCUUUUGGGACAGCCCAGACCUCAUUCAGCACUAUGUCAUCCACACGGGAGAGAAGCCAUACACAUGCCUCGAGGUCACACCUCAGACAGCACCAGCGGAGUCACACUGGGGAGAAGCCCUAUGUAUGCAGUAAAUGUGGAAAGGCCGUAUUUCCCGUCGUGGCGCAGUGGUUAACGAAUCUGACUAGGAACCAUGAGGUUGCGGGUUCGGUCCCUGCCCUUGCUCAGUGGGUUAACGAUCCGGCGUUGCCGUGAGCUGUGGUGUAGGUUGCAGAUGCGGCUCGGAUCCCGCAUUGCUGUGGCUCUGGUGUAGGCCGGUGGCUACAGCUCCGAUUCAACCCCUAGCCUGGGAACCUCCAUAUGCCUCGGGAGCGGCCCAAGAAAUAGCAACAACAACAACAACAAAAGACAAAAGACAAAAAAAAAGGGUGGAAAGGCCUUUACUCACUGCUCCAUCUUCAUCUUGCAUAAAAGGGCCCACACUGGAGAGAAGCCCUAUGAAUGCAGAGCAUGUGGGAGAGCCUUUAGCAAUAGGUCAGACCUCAUUUGACUCUGGAGCAUCCACACUGAAGAGAAGCCUUGUGAGUGCAUGGAGUGUGGGAAGGCCUUUAAUCGCAGGGCGUACCUCACCAGACACCAGCGGAUUCACAGUGGAGAAAAGCCCUAUGAAUGUGUAGAGUGUGGCAAUGCCUUUUGCCAAAGGGCAAACUUCAUUUGACACACCAUCAUCGACACUGGAGAGAAGCCCUAUGUGUGCACUGAAGGUGGAAAGGCCUUCACCUACUGUUAUACUUUUAUCUCGCAUAAGAAGGUCCGCUUUGGAGAGAAACCUUUUGAAGGCAGAGAAUGCGAGAAAGCCUUUAGCACUCGGAAAGGUCUCAUUCGGCACUUCAGCAUCCACACUGGGGAGAAGCCCUAUGAGUGCACCGAGUGUGGGAAGGCCUUUAACCGCAGGUCGGGCCUGACAAGGCACCAGCGGAUUCACAGUGGCGAGAAGCCCUACGAAUGCCUCGAGUGUGGGAAAACCUUCUGCUGGAGCACAAACCUUAUUCGACACGCCAUCAUCCACACGGGAGAGAAGCCUUACAAGUGCAGUGAGUGUGGAAAGGCCUUCAGUCGCAGCUCCUCCCUCACUCAGCAUCAAAGGGUUCAUUCUGGGCGAAACCCUGUCACCGUGAAAAAUGUGGGAAGACCCUUCACAUUUGGUUAGUCCCUGGUCAGCCUCUAGGAAUUCCUUUUGGAGAAAGACUUUUGAAUGUAACCACUGGGUAAAAUCUUUUGCUAGAGGAAACGUCUUACUCAGAAUCUGAUCAUUCAUACCAAAGAGAAACCCCACAGUUUUCUUCUCUGGGAGAAAACUUGUUGCAGGUUGUCAGUUGUCAUCUAAAGAGUUAUGUUUGAAAUGGGCCUAGAAACUUACUCUGUAUCUGAAAGUUCACCCAGGAGAGUGGUUCAGUCCUUAUUGUGCACUUACCAAAACCUUUAGCCACAUCUUUCCCCUUAGUUUACACUGCAAAAUUAUCUCAGGGAUAUAUAAACAAAAGAGAGGAGACAUCGAAAAGAAAUGAGAGUGAAAUGCAAGUGCAGCUUCUUUCGUGGUUCUCUGAUGAGCCUAUGCCAAUUUGUCAUCCCUUUCUUAGUUUAUUUGGGGUAAGGGCGGUGUUGUUGCAGAGAUCAGGGGCCUCGUUUCUUUUAUUUGUGUCAUAUAUACAGGCACUGCUCUCCAGUUUCAGAAUAGUUGAGGGUACAUGUGAAGACAUUGCCUGAAGACUGUCUCUCUUCUCCAACACUGUCUCUACCCUUGAGUAGUACAUGUCUUUAUGAGAAAUAUGAAGGUUUUAAUUAUGCUUUCUUUUCUUUUUUUUUUUUCAGGACCGUACCCAAGGCAUAUGGAGAUUUCCAUGCUAGGAGUCUAAUCAGAGCUAUAGCCACCGGCCUAUGCUACAGCCAUAGCAAUGCCAGAUCCAAGCCACAUCUGUGAUCUACACCACAGCUCACGGCAAUUCCAGAUCCUUAACCCACUGAGCAAAGCCAGGGAUCACACCUGCAUCUUCAUGGAAGUUAGUCAAGUUCGUUAACCACUGAGCCAUGCCGGGAACUCCAGUUAUGCUUUCUUACUUAAGAAGAUGAAGAUGUACGUAUGAAUUGGCCCAUUGUACUACAUUUUUAAGACUUAUUUAUUUAUUUAUUUUGCUUUUUUUAGGGCCGAAGGUGCGGCAUAUGAAACUUCCCAGGCUAGGGGUCGGAUCAGAGCUUCAGCUGCUGGCCUACACCACAGCCACAGCAACAAGGGUUCCAAGCCAUGUCUGCGAUCCACGCCACAGCUCACAGCAAUGCUGAAUCUCAAACCCCCUGAGCAAGGCCAGGGAUCAAACCCGCAUCUUCGUGAAUACUAGUUGGAUUCAUUUCUGCUAUGCCACAAUGGGAACUCCCUAUGUGUUUUAUUUUGUUCUGGCUCUACUUCGACCCCUAGAAAAUCCACCGAGGUGGACCUGAAGAAGGCUCUCUAUGGAGGAAUCUGGGAAACCGCAGUCAGAGGGAAGAACAGGGAUUCAUCUGGGAAGGUUGCACCACACAGAAAGUAAAGGAAAAAUAAACAAGUAGAUCAAGUAUGAGGGUUGGGUGGAAGUCUGAGACCCACACCACAGCCCACGGCCACGCCAGGUCCUUAACCCACUGAUCGAACCCACAACCUCAUGGUUCCUAGUUGGAUUCGUUCCUGCUGCACCACAACAGGAACUCCUGAUCUGUGUAUUUAAACUUCUGCUAAUGUUACACUCUCUUGAGUACUGUGGCUGUCAUUAAAUAAUUGGGUAAUUUCCCCUUUAUUCUUCUUAAAAAUUGAUUUAGCUUUCUAUAUCACUUUUUCCUUUGGUUUUCUGUGUGAAUUUUAUCAUGUGCUUAUCUCUACUUACAAAACAUCUUGUGGGAUUUCUAUAGAAUUACAUUAAUCUGUGGAUCAUUUUGGUGAGAUUUGGCAUCUUUAUGAUAUUGAGUCAUUCCGUGAACAUUGUAUUUCUCCAUUUAUUUAGACACUCUGAUUUAUUUCAUUAGUGUUUUGUAAUUCUCACCUUACAGAACCUGAACAUAUUUUGUUAGAUUUUUAUCCAGGCAACUUUUGGGGGGAGGGUCAUUACAUGGCAUAGGGUUAAAUUUCAGUUUGCACAUUAUCACAUUAUCAUUACUAUUACAGAGAAGACAGUUUUUAUAUGUCAACUUUGUAUCUUAUGACCAUUCUGGACUCAGUUAUUGGUUCUAGCAGGGCUUCUUUUUUUAUUGUGGGUUUUUUGGUCUGUUUGUAGAAUUUUCUUCAUAAACGAUAAUGUCAUCAGCACAUAGUGAAUAUCUUAUUUCUUCUUCAUAUGUGUCCCUUUUAUUUCCUUUUCCUUUCUUUACUGUACUAGCUAGAAUUUCCAGUGCAGUGUUGAAUAGAAAUGGUUAAAGAGGACACACACCUCUUGUUUUUAAUAUUAGGGAGAAAGCAUUAGUAUUGCUUCAUCAUUAAAUAAUAUAACUGUGGGGUUUUAUACAGAUUUUUUUUUUCUAGUUGAGAAGCUUUUCUUCCUCAUUUACUAAGAGCUUUAUGAACAGGUGUUGAAUUUUGUCACAUCUUUGCUCCUUCAAUUGAUGUGAUGAAAUAAUUUUUCUUCUGGAGCCUAUUGAUAUGAUGGAUUGUCUGACUGGUUUUGAAUGUAGAACCAGCCUUGCAUUUCUGCAGUAAAUCCCACUGGGUCAUGGAAUGUAUAUCAGCAUUCUUUUUAUUUUUUUUGUCUUUUGUCCUUUUAGAAAAAUGAAGCCUUAAAAAUGGUUUUUUGUUUUUGUCUUUUUAGGGCCACACAUAUGGAGGUUCCCAGGCUAAGGGUCAGAUUGGAGCUGUAGCCACCAGCCUACGCCACAACCACAGUGAUGCUGGAUCCAAGCUAUGCCUGUGACCUACACCACAGCUAAUGGCAACGCCGGAUCUUAACCCACUGAGCAAGGCCAGGGAUUGAACCGGCAACCUCAUGGUUCCUAGUCGGAUUCAUUUCCGCUGUGCCACGAUGGGAACUCCAGCGUUCUUUUUUUAAUAUUUUGUUGAGAAAUACUGCCAUGAGAGUUUAUAAUUGUUUCAUAGUAACCAUGAUCUGGAAUGAAUUCAAAUGACAUCCAUCGAUGAGAACCUUACAUAAAUAGUGAAACAAAGAUUAAAUGAGGAGUUCCUGUCGUGGCGCAGUGUGACUUAGCCAUGAGCUUGCAGGUCUGAUCCCUGGCGUAACUCAGUGGGUUAAGGAUCCAGUGUUGCUGUGAGCUGUAGUGUAGGUCACAGACGCGGCUCAGAUCCUCCGUUGCUGUGGCUUUGGUGUAGGCCAGCAUCUGUAGCUCUGAUUAGACCCCUAGCCUGGGAACCUCAUAUGCUGUGGGUGCGGCCCUAAAAAGCAAAAAAAAAAAAAAAAAAAAAAAAAAAGAUUAAAUGGAAGAAAACCAGGGCUUCAAGGUGCUGCUUUUGGAUUUCUCACUGUGCUGUAGCAGUUUAAGGACCCAGCAUUGCCACCCCUGUGGUGUAGGUCCCAGCAGCGGUCUGGAUUCGAUCCCUGGAACUUCCAUAUGCCACAGGUGUGACCGAAAAAGAAGGGGGAAAAAAGCACUGCCUUUGUGCAACAACAUGGGUGAAUUUGAUGGAAAAAACAUUCUUUGGCAGUGUACAUCAGACACAAAGUAGUCUGUGCCGUAGAAUUGUGUGGAUAAGUUCAUAACCAGGAAAACUUGAUACCUGCUCGUAAGGGACGUAAUAGUCACCUUUGUGCAGUGUCAACUGGGGAGAGACACAUACGUACCUGAGAACCUCGUGCAACUGCUGUCUUUGCACAGCUAAGGUCACCUGGGAAACAGAGGUAAGUAGUCGUCAAGCUUUACUGUUAAGAGUCUCACUGAAUUGCAUAUGUAUGAAAAAGAGCAAAGAAGUGCUAUGACUUAACAUUGAUUUAUCCCUCCCAUUAUAAAAUGGAAUGUCUUAGCAUGAUCUGUGUGGGCCUGCCAGACUGCAAAUUCUGUCUUCCACUUCAGAGGAUAUUCAGAUUUUCACUUUAAUUACUUUCUUACUUUCCUCAUAUUUUGAUGCCUUAACUGUAUAUCAUUAACAGUAGCUAUUCUUAUCUGAUUUUGAAAUAUAUGUGAAUAUAAUAAUGUUUCUUACAGAUGCUUUUUUGGUAUUAACUGAAUAUGUUAUCUUAUUUGUAAAGAUUUUUGAGGUGAACAUGUAUCUGAUUAUCAUUCUUAAUUUAUUAUAUGGACAUUAAAUGGUAUUCC
rnacentral:lncRNA from 1 species